GUGUUUGCUUCGGCAGCACAUAUACUAAAAUUGGAAGAUACAGAGAAGAUUAGCAUGGCCCCGGGCAAGGAUGACAUGCAAAGUUGUGAAGCGUUCCAUAUUUAA
rnacentral:snRNA from 1 species